UACGAAGGGGGCUAGCGUUGUUCGGAAUUACUGGGCGUAAAGCGCACGUAGGCGGAUAUUUAAGUCAGGGGUGAAAUCCCAGAGCUCAACUCUGGAACUGCCUUUGAUACUGGGUAUCUUGAGUAUGGAAGAGGUAAGUGGAAUUGCGAGUGUAGAGGUGAAAUUCGUAGAUAUUCGCAGGAACACCAGUGGCGAAGGCGGCUUACUGGUCCAUAACUGACGCUGAGGCACGAAAGCGUGGGGAGCAAACAGG
rnacentral:rRNA from 1 species